GGUCAUGAGCGCCAGCGUCAAGCCCCGGCUCGCUGGCCGGCAACCCUCCUCCGCGGUGGGGUGCCCCGGGUGACGACCAGGCCGCGCACCGUUCGGUGCCGGCAAGCGCGGG
rnacentral:ncRNA from 1 species